GACUCGCGCGGACAGUGGACUAGAGAAACCCUCUUUAAUUGGGAGAGUAACUUGUUACAUUCCUCAAACAGACUCCUCAAAUCCCAUGGUCUCAAAGCUGGGUCAUGAGCGUAUUUUACUGAAGCUGCGUUGUCUGACUAUACGCAGACUUCCAACACUGGAUUGUUCUUCGUCGCUGCCUCUUCUCCCAGACAACGCAGAGCUUCCUUCACUGCUGCAGCUUCAAUUUCCAGCGGGGAGGAAGCAGACGCAGCUCUAGCAAACCCCACAGUACACAAACCUCUAUGAUCCCUGCAUACCCCAGCCACCGAUCCCUCUAUUUCCCCUUCGAUCCACGACCCAUUUACGUUAAAUUUCCAGCUUCCAUGUUCUGGGCACGUCCAUCGCGCUGUCUUGGAUUUCACCCGCCAGCUUCACGACACAGGCGUUCCUUGCCUUCCAGAUUUGCCAGAGAAUUCUUGCAAGCACCUCUCGGCCGGACUGUUCUGUGAUGUUGCUCUGGGUCAAGGUGUCCUGAUUGGAAGAAGGAGCUGACUAGUCCGUGUAAAUCGUGCUGUAAUUCCU